CUCUGAACUCGAGCCGUCGGCCAUGUUUGUGGUGUUGAUGCCUGUUGGGAGUGUUUUUAAUGGCACAUUUUGGACACUUACUAUGUCUUCCUGUGCGGUUAUUUAAACUCAGAGGCCGGUGGUUUGGAUUUAACGAGGCUGUCUCACCCGGCAGACAGCAGCUGGAGCCGAGGAGCUCCGGAGGAAAACACCAGGAGGCGAGGAGAGAUCGGAGUUUGUUUGUCUAAAACUUUUGGGAUUUAACUGGAUUUAUCCUCACUUGUGCCUUACACAACGAGCCUCUGCAAUGUACUGCAACUCUCUUACUUGACUGCUGAGUGGAGGAGGGAUGUAACGUCUAAGUUAUGUUACUUCAUGGACGUACAGAGAAAAGAUGGAUAACGUGAAGACUCUGGAGGGAAAAGAGGAAGAAACGAGUAACUGAAAUGCCGUCUGCGUCGCUGGCGAGGACAGCUGUUUUGGAUUAAGAGCAGCAGACUUGGAGGCCAUCACGGCCCGCGGCGUCUUUCAACCAUCCAACCUGACCAACCUGACCGCCCCGGGGAGGAAGACGGUUUGAAUAAGAGCCAUGCUAAUCCAGCUCCUGGCUAACGUCUGGUCACAGGGAGAGGAAACGGACAAAAUUGGACCCAGUUGCAUCUGUUGCGAUGGACAGGUGGCAGCCUCUAGUGGCCAUACUAAUCAUUACAGCUGCAAAGGAGGAAGUCAGGAGACGGAUUAUAAAGAGCGACAAAGUCCACGUACGGAGGAGUAGAUGGUUGGAUUGACAGACACGGGACUUUAACCCAGAAUGCUUAUGCUUGCGUUUUGUGUCAUUUUAACAUAAGACUCAUGAUGUAGUUAAUUGAUUUAAUAAGUUUUUCAAAACAAAAGUAGUGUUAGUGCUUAAACCGCUCAAUGAAGGUCUUUGUCAAUCAUCGUCAAUCAAGCUAUUCGUCUUAUUGUAAGUAUGAGAAUGUGUUUAUCCAGGAAAUAUCUACGUACUAUAUACAAUAUGUAUCUUGUCAAGGAUUUAAAUUGGACAAUGUUGGAUGAUACGUUCAAAUCAGGAAGAACAUUGUCACACUGCCCGUGCAUUGUCUUCGUUUCAAAGCUAGCAUACUUGUACGUGUGCGUUUGUAAUCUGUAUUCCUUUCAUGAUCGGCGCGUAGAUAUGAACCCCCGAGAACGCCGAGCGAAGCAGUCGGCUCUCAUUAGGCUCUGCAGAACAGCUGCACAUUAGGUAUGCCACAUCAGUAGGAGACCUUCCUCUGUGAUUACAUCUCUGCUUCCACACGUUCUCACCGCUACAUCCACAAUGAGCAGAAAUUAUGUAUAUUGAGCCUGAUUGUCCUCGCUUGUAAUUGCCGUAUGAUUUACAGUAAUAGUCCUGCGUCACAGAGCUGGUGUUUCACUCGCUCUCUCUCUGAUGCCGGCGAGAUUGACUCCUGCUAUUGAACAUGCUGUCGGCGCUUAACGACUUCAAAUAAAUCCCGCUUUAUGUUCCCUGGAUCCUGUUUAUGAAAUUGAUGAGGGAAGAGCAAAUGAAAUUAAAACCAAGCAAUUAAUAACGGAUUGUCUGCUGUGUGCCAGCUCGUACAGUCUAUAGAUCAGCGAGCUUCUGUUUGUGCGAGGCAAACAAAUGUUGGCUAUGCCUCUUCUAUUGUGCGUUAUCUGACUGCUGCAGGCCGUUGUAGCCAAAUGUGGCUUGUUAAGGAAUCUUAACAAUAGAGGAGCUACGGAGGAUCUCCACUUUAGCAAAUCUUCACCGCCUCAGGGCGUGUUACACACAGCGCCGAACACACACACACACACACACACUGCAGCAUCCUCAGUGUGUGUGUGUGGGAAGGAAAGGAGCUUGGGUUUGUGAGAGAAGUCAGUGCAUUGUGUUUUUGUCUGCGCUGGAGUUAAUGCAGGAGGGUUUGUUGGUUAAUUUCACGUCCCAGACAAGCCGUGGAUGGAGGCAGAGCUCAGUGUGUAAACCGUCCUGCUCAGUGACCUAAAAUAUUGUCCCAGGCAGCUUUUGUAGACACGGCAUUGUGUUGAAAUAUACUGUAGUCGAAGUAAGUGGUGUGUAAGUAAGUUUUGCACAAUAGAGGGAGUGAGCGAUGUUGUUUGUCUGUUACUGCUGUUGUCUCUUUGUUCUGUUUUUUUUUCCUGCCUGUCAGCAGUGAUGCUGGUUAGACUCAGCUGGAAGCUUCCUCACUACAAGGUGUUUCAUAACUUGUCAAGAAACAAAAGCGCUUGAAGAAGAAGCCUGCAAGUCUUCAUUCAUCCACCCUUUUGUAUUCACCGCCACACCACUCAGCCUGCUUGUGCUCUCUGAGUGGACCGACGCCGAAAAGACGAGCACAUAAUAAAUGUUGUCUUCGUGCACAAGUCACGUCCUCUUUUCUUUGGAUUUCUCCCUGUUUUUACGCUCUGUUUCUCCGCCUCCCCGUCGCCGUCAGCUCGUCUGGAUGUGUCAGCAGCUGAGUUACAAGUGAAGAAUCAUGCAGAAGAGGGUGAGACAGCUGUUGUAGCACGCUGUCUAAUGAGGUGUGUGUGUGUGUGUGUGUGUGUGUGUGUGUGUGUGUUACUUCCUUCAUAUGAAAGCCCAAACAUGAAACAGGAAUACAGACAGACUCUGGUUCCCUGUCCGACUGUGGAGCUUCUUUUUUUUUUUUUUUUCAUAAAUUGAUAUCGCUGAAUCAUUUAUGACCUUUUGUCAUGCAUUAUAGACGGGCUCAGAGAGAGAGAGAGGCAGGCAGAGGAGAGUUUGGAGCCUGUUAUACAAAUGUUGUCUUUUUACAUGGAAAAAGCAAAGUGGGUCCGACCAGCUCAGACGUGUGCGAGGGACUGUUUUGUUUUUUGUUUUUUUUUUGGUUACGACUGCCUCCAUGUAAAAGAGGUCACCGACAAACCCCAGAAACCAUCAGCAGCUCUGCAGCUCCCAGGUAGUGUUUGCUUCGCUCUCCCGGCUCUCACCGUGUUGUUUUCCUGAAACAGCUCUGAAAAAGUCAUCGUACGCAACCUGCUCAGCACCAAACAGCAGACAGCGUCACAACGCCAGUCAGCUCCUGGGAGACAGUCUCUUGUCUGUGUUGUUUCCCCCUCCACCGUACUUUCUAGAACACCGGAAAAAAAAACGAUGUAGUGUGUCCCAAACACAGUGUGUCAAAUGUAGUGUGCCAGAACAUCAGGAUGUCGCGCUGCAUCCAGCUGCAGUUUGCAGGACGUUCGUGACAGCAAACUGCAGAUUGAGGGCAGGAAAUCAGUCCAAAAGUAACGUCUCACGGUAAUAUACGACUUUAGGAAGUAACGGAGUAAUAUAGUGUGUUUCUAAUGGAGUCUGGUAGCACGUUAUCACCUAAAAUUAAGACCUACCAACGCGCUGGCAUCUUGUUUAAAGUCAUUCAAAGAGUCGCUCAACAUUAAAAUUAUUCAAACUUGUGUCAGUACGGACAAACCGUAAAUGUUAGAUCAGAUCUCGUUCUCCAAAAACAUCAGUCUUUCAGUUCACUUAAAGGGGAACUUUGUGGUUUUGGAGAAGAAUUUCAAACUGCAAAUUUUAAUAUUUACAAUAUUCAUGAGGAAAUUAUACAAACUCAGACAUAUUUAUUGUUUCUGUAAGUGAGUAAACAAGUUGUUCUCAG